AGUGAACGCUGGCGGUAGGCCUAACACAUGCAAGUCGAACGGCAGCACAGUAAGAGCUUGCUCUUACGGGUGGCGAGUGGCGGACGGGUGAGGAAUACAUCGGAAUCUACUUUUUCGUGGGGGAUAACGUAGGGAAACUUACGCUAAUACCGCAUACGACCUACGGGUGAAAGCAGGGGAUCUUCGGACCUUGCGCGAUUGAAUGAGCCGAUGUCGGAUUAGCUAGUUGGCGGGGUAAAGGCCCACCAAGGCGACGAUCCGUAGCUGGUCUGAGAGGAUGAUCAGACACACUGGAACUGAAACACGGUCCAGACUCCUACGGGAGGCAGCAGUGGGGAAUAUUGGACAAAGGGCGCAAGCCUGAGCCAGCCAUACCGCGUGGAUGAAGAAGGCCUUCGGGUUGUAAAGCCCUUUUGUUGGGAAAGAAAAGCAGCAGGUUAAUACCCCGCUGUUCUGACGGUACCCAAAGAAUAAGCACCGGCUAGCUUCGUG
rnacentral:rRNA from 1 species